UACGUAGGUGACAAGCGUUGUCCGGAUUUACUGGGCGUAAAGAGCGCGCAGGCGGUCGUUCAAGUCGAGUGUGAAAGCCCCCGGCUCAACUGGGGAGGGUCAUUCGAUACUGAUCGACUCGAAGGCAGGAGAGGGUAGUGGAAUUCCCGGUGUAGUGGUGAAAUGCGUAGAUAUCAGGAGGAACACCAGCGGCGAAGGCGGCGCUCUGGGCCGGUACUGACGCUGAGGAGCGAAAGCGUGGGGAGCAAACAGG
rnacentral:rRNA from 1 species